UACGAAGGGUGCAAACGUUGCUCGGAAUUAUUGGGCGUAAAGCGCGUGUAGGCGGCCUUGCAAGUCGGAUGUGAAAGCCCACGGCUCAACCGUGGAAGUGCAUCCGAAACUGCAUAGCUUGAGUCUCGGAGAGGAAGGUGGAAUGCUUGGUGUAGAGGUGAAAUUCGUAGAUAUCAAGCAGAACACCUGCGGCGAAGGCGGCCUUCUGGACGAUGACUGACGCUGAGACGCGAAAGCGUGGGGAGCAAACAGG
rnacentral:rRNA from 1 species